ensembl:lncRNA
CUUGAGCGUGCGCUGAUUCGAAUCACUGAAUCAUUUUGUGAAUCAUUUGAUUCAACUGACUCGGAUCUUCAAAAAGCUCAGUUUCUCCAUCAGUACUCGAUGAUGAACUGAUUCAGAUUCAGAGAGAGAUGAGACGCACCGUUUCUGUUACUCUUGCGCUUUACAAGCACAAAAUACCCUUCAUUAAUAACACUUAAUAAAGCAUUACAGUAAUACAGUCGGUAACAAUUCAUUUCUAAGUUUUAUAUACAAUUCUCACAGACGCGGGAGCGCGCGCAGCCUUGUGACGUCUUCUUCUUCUUCUUCUUCUUUGUUUUUAACGGCGGUUGGCAACCAGCUUUUGGUGCAUUACCGCCACCUUCUGCUUCGGAGUGUGAAUCAGACAAUAGGCUUACAAUCUAGUUUCCACAUAAAAAAAAAAAAAAAAAAACCUACACACAAUCAUUCAUUACCCAACACACUUUCCCAUAUCCCUGUUUAUCCUCAUAAUCUAUUAAACAAACCUGUUUCCCUUAAGAAAGUUAACAAUAUUCUAACCUGUGCUCUGUCACCUAUGCUCAUCAGUCCUGUUAAAGUUAAUUCCUGAACCCCUAAUUCCCUCAAAUUAUUCUCCAUUAUCACUCUCUGUUCCUCAUACCUCCUACAUCUUAUAAUUAUGUGCUCCACUGACUCCUCUUCUUGACACCACUCACACAAGCCUGUCUCGUGUCUUCCUAUCAUUUUCAGUGAUUUGUUUAGCGCACCGUGCCCCAACCUUAAUCUUGUCAUUACGGUUUCCUCUCUCCUGUACCCACCACCUAACCUAGUUAUUUUUACACUCUUUUGAAUUUUAUAUAAAUGCCUUCCUUUCUCCUCUCUGUCCCAUCUAUCUUGCCACAUUUGGUUGGUUUUUUCCCAGAUGAUACUUUUGACCUCUGCUUUACUUAUUUUAAUUUGCAUUUCUAUAUUUCCCUUCUUUAAAGCCUUCUUUGCCAAUUCAUCCACCUGCUCAUUCCCUUUCACCCCUACAUGUGCUGGAACCCACAUAAAUUGAACCUGUCCUCCUUGAUUUGCUAUCCUUGUUACUGAUUGAAGGACUUCAUAUAACACAUCCUGACGGCUUUUUGAGUGAAAAGACCUUAAACUCACUAGGACUGAGGAUGAAUCGGAUAAUAUCAGCACCUUUUCUUGUCUUGUUUUUUCCACCCACCUUAAAGCAACUAAUACUGCUACCAUUUCCACUGUGUAAACUCCUAAAAAAUCUGACGUUCUUCUAUUAAUUCCUAUUCCUUUAGCAGGAAUUGCCACCCCAUAUCCUGUCACUCCUGUCUCAGGUUUCUUAGAACCAUCUGUAUAUAUAUGUAUGAAUUCUUUAUAAUCUUUACUUAUGUGAUGCUUGAAUGCACUUACCAAAUCUAUUUGAUCCUUUCCUUUCUUCUUUAACUCUAAUAAAUACCAGUCAAUAUCAGGCCA